GGCGACAUCGUCCAGUGGUUAGGACAUUCGGUUUUGAGUGUAAAAUCUGCGGUUACAAGAACUUGAAGUCCGAAAAACCUGGGUUCGAUCCCCAGUGACGCCU
rfam:Cryptococcus depauperatus CBS 7841 supercont1.23, whole genome shotgun sequence.